rnacentral:rRNA from 1 species
UCUGGUGGCGAUAGCGAAGAGGUCACACCCGUUCUCAUACCGAACACGGAAGUUAAGCUCUUUAGCGCCAAUGGUAGUUGGGACUUUGUCCCUGUGAGAGUAGGACGUUGCCAGGC